GGGUCGGUGGCGUAGUUGGUUAUCGCAUCUGUCUAACACGUAAAAUGUGCACAGAAGGUCCUCAGUUCGAACCUGGGCCGACUCA